rnacentral:rRNA from 1 species
CGGAGGAAAAGAAACUAACCAGGAUUCCCCUAGUAGCGGCGAGCGAAGCGGGAAGAGCCCAAGAUGAAAAGCCCUUGCGGGCGUUGUAUUUGAGCGUCUUUGGGGUGUCAGUGCGAGCAAGUUGUAUGGAAAUACACGCCGUGGAGGGUGAGAGCCCCGUCCAACUCGCACAGGACACGCCGUACAAAGUCGUUUCAGACGAGUCGGGUAGCUUGGGAAUGCUGCUCUAAUUGGUGGUAAAUCUCAUCAAAGGCUAAAUAGCGGCCGGAGACCGAUAGCGAACAAGUACCGUGAGGGAAAGAUGACAAGCACUUUGAAAAGAGGGUGAAAAGAGCCUGAAACCGUCAUGGGGGAAGCGGAUUGCGUUGGACUGGUGGGUUGUUGCGUGUUCAGCCGUUUCGGUGCAUUGACGCAGCAACUUAUCCGCCGUGGGUUCUGGAUGGUCGAUUUUGGACUGUUCAGGGCUGAGGGCUCCCUUUUAAAGGUGAGGACGGUGGAGCGACGACGCGAUACGACCCGUCUUGAAACACGGACCAAGGAGUCUAGCGCGGGUGCGAGUCAAAGGGUGCAAGCCCGUGGGCAAAGUGAAAGCGAGUGUAAAAACGAGCAGUUUGGGGCGGCAUGAGAUCGUUGAUCUCAAGACCGACCCUGAGCAGUUGCGCUGGGACCCGAAAGAUGGUGAACUAUGCCGGAGUAGGGCAAAGCCAGAGGAAACUCUGGUGGAGGCUCGUAGCGGUGCUGACGUGCAAAUCGCUCGUCGAACUUGGGUAUAGGGGCGAAAGACUAAUCGAACCAUCUAGUAGCUGGUUCCCUCCGAAGUUUCUCUCAGGAUAGCGGGCCGACAUGUGUUGUUUUGUGCGGUAAAGCGAAUGAUUAGCGCACUCGGGGGCAGUUAGCCUUCGGGCGAUUCUCAAACUUUCAAUGCGCAAGGGUGCCGCUGCUUUGUUGAGCGGCACCGGCAAAAACGUCGGCCCUGUGGGCCACUUUUGGUAAGCAGAACUGGCGAUACGGGAUGAACCGUAAGCGUGGUUAAGGCGCCUCACUGCCCGCUUAGAGACCCCACAAAAGGUGUUGAUUCAUCGAGACAGCAGGACGGUGGCCAUGGAAGUCGGAAUCCGCCAAGGAGUGUGUAACAACUCACCUGCCGAAUGAAUUAGCCCUGAAAAUGGAUGGCGCUGAAGCGGGCGGCCGACACCACGCCGUCUGGUAAAGAAUUAUGAUCAGAUGAGUAGGAGGGCGUGGUGGCCGUGUCGAAGCAUGCGUGCAGACGCGUGUGGAACGGCCACUAGUGCAGAUCUUGGUGGUAGUAGCAAGUAUUCAAGCGAGAUCCUUGAAGGGCGAAGCGGGGAAGGGUUCCACGCGAACAUUGAUUGGGCGUGGGUGAGUCGUUCCUAAGCCGAGUGGCGAUUGCUAAGUAGCGGCGAAAGGGAAGCGGGUUGACAUUCCCGCACACGGAUGUGGAGGCGGUGACGCGUAAUGGGGCGAACACGCUGGCGACGGCGCUGGGCAGAGUUGUCUUUUCUGUUUGACCUACUUUGCACGCGGUGUGGAAUCCGCUUGUCGGGAGAAACACGCGUGUCGGGGCAGAGCGCCGAGGCUUUUUCGGCGUCCAGCUCGCCGUCGACGGCCCUUGAAACUUUGCCUGCUGAUUUAAAUCCACGCCGUGGCGUACCGAUCACCGCAUCAGGUCCCCAAGGUGAACAGCCUCUGCUCGAUAUGAACAAUGCAGGUAAGGGAAGUCGGCAAAUUAGACCCGUAACUUUGGGAUAAGGGUUGGCUCUAGUGCUGCGUGGGAGUGGUUGCCGAGUGUCGGGGUUUUUGGUGAGGCCGGCUUGGCGCGGGCCCCUCGGGGACUGUUCCGGCUGCCGAGCUGAUCGUUCCGCGUUCGGCGACGCCCACAGCAUGCAGCAGACUAGAACUGCAACGGGCAAAGGGAAUCCGACUGUUUAAUUAAAACAAAGCAUUGCGAGGGCCGUGGCCGGUGAUGACGCAAU